UACGGAAGGUGCGAGCGUUAAUCGGAAUUACUGGGCGUAAAGGGUGCGUAGGUGGUUAUUUAAGUUAGAUGUGAAAUCCCCGGGCUUAACCUGGGAACUGCGUUUAAUACUGGAUGACUAGAGUACUGUAGAGGUUAGUGGAAUUUCCAGUGUAGCGGUGAAAUGCGUAGAUAUUGGAAGGAACACCAGUGGCGAAGGCGACUAACUGGGCAGAUACUGACACUGAGGCACGAAAGCGUGGGUAGCAAACAGG
rnacentral:rRNA from 1 species